rnacentral:tRNA from 1 species
UAGCUCAGUUGGUAGAGCAUCGCACUGAAAAUGCGAGGGUCCCCGGUUCAAGUCCGGGCCUGCCCA